rnacentral:misc_RNA from 1 species
AAUGAAAGGUUCUGCUAUCACUGGACCUAUAGGGAAGGAAUGUGCUGAUCUCUGGCCCAGGAUUGCAAGUGCUGCCAAUGCUAUUGUGUAGUUUCCUGUUGCCUCUGUAGUUUGACAUUAGGAGUUUUGGCAUCUCUUUUCAGUGUUUUGAUAGUUUGUUAAUGUUGUUUUCAGAGGUGUUGGAUCAUGUACUCCUGUCUUGGUAUUUUAAAUUUGGAACAGACCUAGCAUAUUUCCUUCAUAAGCAUUAAUUAAAGUUGAUAGACUUGUG